AGUAACGCGUGGGUAACCUGCCCUUAAGUCUGGGAUACCAUUUGGAAACAGAUGCUAAUACCGGAUAAAAGCUACUUUAGCAUGAAAGAAGUUUAAAAGGCGGCGUAAGCUGUCGCUAAAGGAUGGACCUGCGAUGCAUUAGCUAGUUGGUAAGGUAAUGGCUUACCAAGGCGAUGAUGCAUAGCCGAGUUGAGAGACUGAUCGGCCACAUUUGGGACUGAGACACGGCCCAAACUCCUACGGGAGGCAGCAGAU
rnacentral:rRNA from 1 species